rnacentral:rRNA from 1 species
CCAGACUCCUACGGGAGGCAGCAGUGAGGAAUAUUGGUCAAUGGCCGCAGGGCUGAACCAGCCAAGUCGCGUGAGGGAUGACGGUCCUAUGGAUUGUAAACCUCUUUUGUCAGGGAGCAAAGGGCGCCACGUGUGGCGUUUUGCGAGUACCCGAAGAAAAAGCAUCGGCUAACUCCGUGCCAGCAGCCGCGGUAAUACGGAGGAUGCGAGCGUUAUCCGGAUUUAUUGGGUUUAAAGGGUGCGCAGGCGGUCUGUAAAGGCGGCGGACAAAGCCGGGGGCCCCCCCCGGGCCCGCCGUUGAAACUGGCAGUCUCGAGUUGGAGAGAAGUAUGCGGAAUGCGCGGUGUAGCGGUGAAAUGCAUAGAUAUCGCGCAGAACUCCGAUUGCGAAGGCAGCAUGCCGGCUCCACACUGACGCUGAGGCACGAAAGCGUGGGUAUCGAACAGGAUUAGAUACCCCGGUAG